rnacentral:rRNA from 1 species
UACGUAGGUGGCAAGCGUUACUCGGAAUCACUAGGCGUAAAGCGCAGGUAGGAGGUUUGGAAAGUCAGUUGUGAAAUCUCCGAGCUUAACUCGGAAAGGUCAACUGAUACUGUGCGGCUAGAGUGCGGAAGGGGCAACUGGAAUUCUUGGUGUAGCGGUGAAAUGCGUAGAUAUCAGGAGGAAUACCGAUGGCGAAGGCAGGUCUCUGGGCUAUAACUGACGCUCAUGCACGAAAGCGUGGGGAGCAAACAGG